GAUGAACGCUGGCGGCGUGCCUAAUACAUGCAAGUCGAGCGAACAGACGAGGAGCUUGCUCCUCUGACGUUAGCGGCGGACGGGUGAGUAACACGUGGAUAACCUACCUAUAAGACUGGGAUAACUUCGGGAACCGGAGCUAAUACCGGAUAAUAUAUUGAACCGCAUGGUUUAAUAGUGAAAGACGGUUUUGCUGUCACUUAUAGAUGGAUCCGCGCCGCAUUAGCUAGUUGGUAAGGUAACGGCUUACCAAGGCAACGAUGCGUAGCCGACCUGAGAGGGUGAUCGGCCACACUGGAACUGAGACACGGUCCAGACUCCUACGGGAGGCAGCAGUAGGGAAUCUUCCGCAAUGGGCGAAAGCCUGACGGAGCAACGCCGCGUGAGUGAUGAAGGUCUUCGGAUCGUAAAACUCUGUUAUUAGGGAAGAACAAAUGUGUAAGUAACUAUGCACGUCUUGACGGUACCUAAUCAGAAAGCCACGGCUAACUACGUG
rnacentral:rRNA from 1 species